AUUGAACGCUGGCGGCAGGCCUAACACAUGCAAGUCGAACGGUAACAGGAAACAGCUUGCUGUUUCGCUGACGAGUGGCGGACGGGUGAGUAAUGUCUGGGAAACUGCCUGAUGGAGGGGGAUAACUACUGGAAACGGUAGCUAAUAUCGCAUAACGUCGCAAGACCAAAGAGGGGGACCCUCGGGCCUCUUGCCAUCGGAUGUGCCCAGAUGGGAUUAGCUUGUUGGUGGGGUAACGGCUCACCAAGGCGACGAUCCCUAGCUGGUCUGAGAGGAUGACCAGCCACACUGGAACUGAGACACGGUCCAGACUCCUACGGGAGGCAGCAGUGGGGAAUAUUGCACAAUGGGCGCAAGCCUGAUGCAGCCAUGCCGCGUGUAUGAAGAAGGCCUUCGGGUUGUAAAGUACUUUCAGCGGGGAGGAAGGGAGUAAAGUUAAUACCUUUGCUCAUUGACGUUACCCGCAGAAGAAGCACCGGCUAACUCCGUG
rnacentral:rRNA from 1 species